GAUUAACGCUGGCGGCGUGCAUAACACAUGCAAGUCGAACGAUGAAACUUAGUAGACUUCUUCGGAAAGACACUAGGCGGAUUAGUGGCGAACGGGUGAGUAACGCGUGAGUAACCUGCCUUACACAAGGGGAUAGCCUUUGGAAACGAAGAAUAAUACCCUAUAAAACCAUAAAAGCACAUGCUAGAAUGGUCAAAGUGAUAGCGGUGUAAGAUGGACUUGCGUCUGAUUAGCUAGUUGGUGAGAUAAAAGCUCACCAAGGCAACGAUCAGUAGCCGGCUUGAGAGAGUGUACGGCCACAUUGGGACUGAGACACGGCCCAGACUCCUACGGGAGGCAGCAGUGGGGAAUUUUGCACAAUGGGGGAAACCCUGAUGCAGCGACGCCGCGUGAUUUAGAAGGCCUUCGGGUUGUAAAAAUCUUUUGUAUAGGAAGAAAAUGACAGUACUAUACGAAUAAGGUCCGGCUAAUUACGUG
rnacentral:rRNA from 1 species